UACGAAGGGGGCUAGCGUUGCUCGGAAUCACUGGGCGUAAAGCGCACGUAGGCGGACUCUUAAGUCGGUGGUGAAAUCCUGGAGCUCAACUCCAGAACUGCCUUCGAUACUGAGAGUCUCGAGUCCGGGAGAGGUGAGUGGAACUGCGAGUGUAGAGGUGAAAUUCGUAGAUAUUCGCAAGAACACCAGUGGCGAAGGCGGCUCACUGGCCCGGUACUGACGCUGAGGUGCGAAAGCGUGGGGAGCAAACAAG
rnacentral:rRNA from 1 species